rnacentral:lncRNA from 1 species
UGUAAUACUUAUGAAAGUAAACAGAAAAUUUUACUCUCACAUUAUUUCUAGCGAUAGAAAAUUUGAAUCGAUGAUCCACAUUAUUACAAAUUUCACAAUUUUACAACAAUAAUUUGUCUAAUAUUUGAAUGGUCUCAAAACUAACAAUUUUUAGUAGCUAGAUAAACAAUAUUCUAAGAUUGUAAAAUUCAAAACUUAAGAAGUUUAAAUAAUCUAGAUCAAACUUAAUAGUGUAGAUCGUCGAUUCCAAUUUUUUAUUGCCGAAA